UUUUUUAACCCUAUUGGUAGUGAGAUCAUAGUCUUCUUGAAACAUAUGGGUUAUCUAGUGUGUAAAUACAGUAUAAAUACUGGAGCUUAAGCUCAGGGUAUUGGGAUCACUUCUGAGAAUUCUCAUCGGUGUGGAUCUCGUGUGGUGGAAUGGAACAAUAAAGCUGGGCCCUUGCUUCUUCUCACUCAUGGCUGAUGUAUUUUUUCUGUCUCCAACUGGGCUCAGAGGUAGAUGUGAGUAUUGGCUUCUAAGUUGAAUUUUAAAUGUUUUUGGGUAAUAGGCUAAAUUUGAGCCAACAUUUGGCGACCCAGAUGGGACUGGGCUAAGAUCUAUAUGUCUGGAAUCUCUCCCGUGGGACUUCGCUCUCUAAGCAACAGACAGGCCGUAUAGGAAAAGGCAUUGCAGACGCCUGUUAUUUCAAAGCUCUGUUUUAGUGGUCUGUUGUUACGAUUGGGAAGCCCCGGGGUGGGAAGAAAGACUAAGUGGGUCUCCAAAAGAACCUUGAGUGAGUGAGAAGAGGUAAGAGAAGUGUAGAUUGUAGAAGAAUGUACUUUUUGUAAUUGUAUAACGUUCAUAAGACUGUGUAAGGAAAUGGUAUAUGUGUUGUGUGAGUGAAAGUCCUGCAAUACUGCUGGAGGAAGGGCAAAAAGGUAGAAAAAAGGUAGAAAAAAGGUAGAAAAAAGAGAAGAGAAAUAGAGAAAUACUCCAGGGCUGGGAUAGAAAGCAGGUGGAAAAUGAGGCCUCAGACCCCAGAUACCGGCUACUACACUAGACUAGCAGACUAGUGGCGGCUGCAUUGGUGGGGACCCCUAAUACCGCUGGAAAAAGAUUAGAUAAAAGAUAGAUAGAUUAGAUUCCAGGGCUGGAUAGAGAGGGGAAUAAAUCCUGGGCCCAGGUCCGGGUCGUGCAAUACAGCAUGCCCGGUGUAUGAAUGGAAUAUGUACUAACGAAUGUGUGUGCUUAUAAUAUAUGUGCUUAUAAUAUGAGUGUGGUGUGAGAGCGUGUAAGUUUUGGAGACAGGGAAAAAGUAUUUAUUAGUGCUCUGAACAUGAGCUCCAUACCUAAAGUAUUGGAUAAGUUGGAUAAGAUUUAGAGAAAAGAAUUUUUUUUUGGAGAAAGUUGGAUUUAAUUUGUAUGACUGUAAGCUUCAUGCAUACGGAGCUGGUAUGGAGGUGCUUUAUACUUUGAAAACUUCAUGUAGUAACAUAAAUAAGUGUAAUAAUGUGGAAUACAAUGUGUGUAUGGGAGCUUGCCGGCGUUGUUGAUAGAAAGGAGCGGUGUAUGUGUGUGUUCCUGUCUGUUCUUAUCUGCGCGUCUGUGUGGAAAUAGGAAGGAAGGACAAAAAAAAAAAAAAAAAAAAAAGGAAUGACAAUUCGGUGUGUGUGUGCUCUUCAGAGUGAGCUUGGUAAUGCAGAGCAUUGUGAGAUAUCUUGCGGUCUUCGAAUGUUUUGAAUCUGGUACAUACUUUUGAUUGUGUGAUCCGGGGUAAAAGGAAGACUGAAGGUGGGGAAACAAGUGUGCAUUUUCAGGCCCCAGAAGCCACUGUUAAGAAAUGAAUGCCCAUGAUCUUAGCCAGUGUGUGAGGGGGAAGGUAGAGGAAUGGUCUCUGUGCUUGCAGGCAACGGUGGAGGAUAAUCUAAGUGUGAUAUUUGUGCUCGAAAAUUUCUUCCUUGACCAGGGAUAGGUCCCAGAUCUGACAUACCAUCUCAAGUUAACGUAAUUUGUGCUGAUACUAAACGUAUUUUGGUGGAUGCUCUACCUCUUGCACUAAUGACCUAGCACAUGCAGACUAACAGCCAUAUGUAUCUAACACCGCAUGAAACGCUUACGGGUCGACCCGUGUCUGUGUCUGUUCCUUAUGAUGGACUGCCGCUGGAGUAAUUGCAGAUGAAUCAAAAACAUAUAUAAGACCACUAACUAUUAUGUAUGGAGUUAUAUAUUCACAGGAACAGAGCUGAGUGCAGUGUUAUGUGUGAGGCGUCACCGCCUCAACGGGGGGAGGUGUUCACCCGGAGGUAGGAGACCCGGAGGUGUUCACCCGGAGGUAGGAGACCCGGAGGUGUUCACCCGGAGGUGGGAGUCCCGUAGCAGCGAGAGAAUGCUGACUACAAGGCGACAGCGGACUAGAACAUGCAACCCCUGGAGGAUGCUCAAUCCUCCAAUGACGAGAUGGUGGGGAACACGUGAAGGUCCGGUACAAAGCUGCUGUGUACGAAACUGUUGUCAGUGGGGGGUCUGCUCAUUCAGUGGCAGACAGGAUGAGAAGAUGUGAGGAUCCAUACCCUGGGUGUACGUGCUAGCCUAACCUCUCCCCAAAGGGUGGCUCUCUACAGUACGUAAAGUGCUUGAGCUGAAGACAACCAGCAUACAGAGAGAUACUGCAUACAACAGACUGUCAAGUAUUGUUAUAAAAUGUUAUAAAAUAUUUGUGAUAUGACGCAAUCAGGCACAGAAAAGUAUAAUAGUGCUGCCGAGCACAUAGUGCUGGCAGGGUGGGAAUUUUUCCUCGUAGGAGGUUUUUUCGCCCACCCCUGACUGCGAAAGACUGGGGUUUGGUUUUUGAGGGGAAGCAAGAAUCUGCAGGUCCCGACAAAUACAAAACUGUGGGCUGACAGGCCUAGUUGAGAAAGAUAGGGACGUGUAGAUCAAGUAGUUAGUUACUGUAGUGGCCACUCAUACGUACGGCAGUAGUAGUAGUAAUGAAUGAUUAGGGGAACUCAGUAAAUCACACUUAUAAUCGAUGUAGGCAAACAAACGUAUAAUCAAGGUAGUUAGAUUCGAAAUGAGAUAUAUAUAUACAUAGUUAAAAGGAGAAGUAAGUUAAGGGUUAAGAGUUAUGGCUAGGUACAUCUACACAUGUCCGGCGCAAAGUGGAUGUAGGGGGGUCCUAAGGCCCAUUCUCCAGCUGCCAAUCUACUAUGAGACCCCGGGGCGCACAACACUAGCACGUCUCCCACCAGUUCUACAAAACCUCCUCAGCUCCUGUUCGGAUCAGUGUUGCGUAGAAGUGGUUAAUGUAAGGGACCCAUUUGAGUACGGGGACGGGCGCAGGGAUUAUGGCUUUGUUAGAGUAAUCCUCCGACAGCUAGCGGGGGACGGCCAUGGGGUGCGGCAGAAUCAGUUCCUCCACGCUUAAUUAAGGUAGUGUAUGAGGCUUCAUAGUCUCAGAGGGGGAAAUGUUGUGGAUAAAAAAUGUCAUAAAAUAAACAUAAGGGAGACCUAGCAUCCAGCAAAGGGGAGAAGAAGAAAAGACGGGCACCUAGACACAUAGAAGCGGGAUUAGGCGGACAUUGACAAAUUGGAAUUACACUUUAAAGAUCUUUAAGAGCAGUAAUAGUCAAAAAAGUCAAAAAAGAGGUAUACGAGCUGAGCUGAGGAGGGCUAACACACACACACACACACGCUCGUACAGUCAAGGGCGGGCAAGUAGACACAACAUACACACACACUCUCUCUUUCUCAUACACACACAUGAAUAACUUUAAUAAUAUCUUAUAGUAAUAGAGAAACUCUAUAAAAAAAAACAGAAUAGUAGGAUAUGCAGGACAGUAGAACUGUAAUGAUAUUAAGAAGUUGGAAGUACAGUAAACCACUUUUCAAGUAGUAUAAAUAUAUAUAUAUAUAUAUAUAUAUAUAUAUAUAUAAUAAGAAAUAUAGUGCAAAUAUGAAAAUAAAAACUAGAAAUACAGGAAAAUAUAACUUACUCAUGAUUCAGAUGGUGAAGAUUCUCGUCUCGCAAGGAAAGCCUUAAUUUUAAGAGAACCAUGAAGAGAGCCGGUUAUAAGGGUGGCUGGGUCAAACUGCCCCCCCUCGAGAUAACGAUAAGACCAAGAUCCCUCUAGGUUGUUUAGUCUUGUCCACGGUCUACUCUCUGGGUAAAUGAAAAUGCUGGUUUCUGAGGCCCUAGGUAACUGAGAAGUCUGGUUUCUGAUGCCCUAGGUAACUGAAAAUUCUGGUUUCUGAUCCUCUGAGUAACUAGAAACUCUGGGUUUUUAUUUUCUGGGUUAUUAGAAAUGCCUGGGUUCUGAUUUUAUGUGUAAAUUAAAACCCCUGGUUUCAAUUCUGUGUGUAAGUGAAAUAGCCCUUUUCUGGAACAUAAGAGUAAGGUAAAUGAGCUCUUUUUUAACCCUAUUGGUAGUGAGAUCAUAGUCUUCUGGAAACCUAUGGGUUAUCUAGUGUGUAAAUACAGUAUAAAUACUGGAGCUUAAGCUCAGGGUAUUGGGAUCACUUCUGAGAAUUCUCAUCGGUGUGGAUCUCGUGUGGUGGAAUGGAACAAUAAAGCUGGACCCUUGCUUCUUCUCACUCACGGCUGGUGUAUUUUUUCUAUCUCCAACUGGUCUCAGAGGUAGAUGUGAGUAUUGGCUUCUAAGUUGAAUUUUAAAUGUUUUGGG